rnacentral:rRNA from 1 species
GACGAACGCUGGCGGCGUGCUUAACACAUGCAAGUCGAACGGAAAGGCCCUGCUUUUGUGGGGUGCUCGAGUGGCGAACGGGUGAGUAACACGUGAGUAACCUGCCCUUGACUUUGGGAUAACUUCAGGAAACUGGGGCUAAUACCGGAUAGGAGCUCCUGCUGCAUGGUGGGGGUUGGAAAGUUUCGGCGGUUGGGGAUGGACUCGCGGCUUAUCAGCUUGUUGGUGGGGUCGUGGCUUACCAAGGCUUUGACGGGUAGCCGGCCUGAGAGGGUGACCGGCCACAUUGGGACAGAGAUACGGCCCAGACUCCUACGGGAGGCAGCAGUGGGGAAUAUAGCACAAUGGGCGGAAGCCUGAUGCAGCAACGCCGCGUGCGGGAUGACGGCCUUCGGGUUGUAAACCGCUUUCGCCUGUGACGAAGCGUGAGUGACGGUAAUGGGUAAAGAAGCACCGGCUAACUACGU